rnacentral:rRNA from 1 species
UACGAAGGGGGCUAGCGUUGCUCGGAAUCACUGGGCGUAAAGGGUGCGUAGGCGGGUCUUUAAGUCGGGUGUGAAAUCUUGGAACUUAACUCCGAAACUGCAUUCGAUACUGCCGUGCUUGAGGACUGGAGAGGAGACUGGAAUUUACGGUGUAGCGGUGAAAUGCGUAGAUAUCGUAAGGAAGACCAGUGGCGAAGGCGGGUCUCUGGACAGUUCCUGACGCUGAAGCACGAAGGCCAGGGGAGCAAACGGG